rnacentral:tRNA from 1 species
GUCCCCGUAGUUAAAAUGGAUAUAACGACUCUCUCCUAAGGAGUAAUUACAGGUUCAAUUCCUGUCGGGGGCA